CCAGACUCCUACGGGAGGCAGCAGUGGGGAAUAUUGGACAAUGGGGGGAACCCUGAUCCAGCGACGCCGCGUGAGUGAAGAAGUAUUUCGGUAUGUAAAGCUCUAUCAGCAGGGAAGAAAGAAAUGACGGUACCUGACUAAGAAGCCCCGGCUAACUACGUGCCAGCAGCCGCGGUAAUACGUAGGGGGCAAGCGUUAUCCGGAUUUACUGGGUGUAAAGGGAGCGUAGACGGCGAUGCAAGUCUGAAGUGAAAGGCGGGGGCCCAACCCCCGGACUGCUUUGGAAACUGUAUAGCUGGAGUGCAGGAGAGGUAAGUGGAAUUCCUAGUGUAGCGGUGAAAUGCGUAGAUAUUAGGAGGAACACCAGUGGCGAAGGCGGAUGACUGGACGGCAACUGACGGUGAGGCGCGAAAGCGUGGGGAGCAAACAGGAUUAGAUACCCCGGUACA
rnacentral:rRNA from 1 species